UACGGGGGGGGCAAGCGUUGUUCGGAAUUACUGGGCGUAAAGGGCGUGUAGGCGGCCAACUAAGUCCGACGUGAAAUCCCCAGGCUUAACCUGGGAACUGCGUCGGAUACUGGAUGGCUUGAAUCCGGGAGAGGGAUGCAGAAUUCCAGGUGUAGCGGUGAAAUGCGUAGAUAUCUGGAGGAAUACCGGUGGCGAAGGCGGCAUCCUGGACCGGCAUUGACGCUGAAGCGCGAAAGCUAGGGUAGCAAACGGG
rnacentral:rRNA from 1 species